rnacentral:misc_RNA from 1 species
CAAAAUCAGCACCACUUCAAAAUCUCUCUGCUUUCCUCACUGUCUCUGUUAUGGAUUUCUAUUGGCUAAUAAAAUUACACAACACACUCUCCUCCUCUGCAAUCUCUGGUCAAAUCUAUCCUUUUUAAAUUUAUAAAACCUUCAAUUCCAAACACAAAUUUCGAUUUUCUCGGCUUCGAAGUCGCUCGCAAUCCGCGUUUAUCUUAAUUCUCUCUCACUCCCUCUGUCGUCCGUUUCCUUCUCUCUCCUAACGGUUCCAAGAAAUUCAUUUUCCAAUUCCUCUGUAUUGUCCUUGUUUUUCGAGAAGGAACCCACCAAAAAAAAAAGUGGUUUUGGAUUGUUUUCACCCAUCUGGGUUCACUCAACAUGACUUGCCAGGUCGGAAUCCGAUCGCCGUCUCCAAACGGGAAGACGCGGUCUUUAUUAGCAGAGAAACCAACCAAAAUAAUGCUGAAAACAGCAGCGAAGGGAGAGAACAGGGGAGAGAAAAGUAUAAUAAAGCGGUUCGGAGAGGUAGCAGGUGGAACCGCCGCAGAGUGUGUGGCGGUGUGUUGCUGCUGUCCAUGUACGCUGAUGAAUCUCCUGGUCUUAGCGAUUUUCAAGAUGCCGGUUUGCCUUUGCAGGAAGGCUAGAAAACGACACCGUUCAUCGAAGAUAAAACAGCAGGCAUUGUUGGUCAACGCUGUGAGUAAUGGUCUGUGCAGAGAGGAAUUAGAGAGGGAAGUCCAAGCAGUUGUAGAGAAACAAAAGGAAGUUGGCGGUGGUGAUGAUGACGAUGAUGAUGCUGAUGGAAAAACUGAGGCCGUUGAUCUAGAAAAGGAGAUGUGGGACCGCUUUUAUGCAACUGGGUUUUGGAGAAGCACAUCUCAAAGAAGAACGUGAGAAAGAGAGAGAAGAGAUUGUACUAAGAAUGAGACAAGGUUGCAUUGCAAUAUGGGGUCAAACCCACAAAAAUUUACAUGAAAUUGGCUUGAUUCAUCAUGUGGAGUGGGGAUAGGCAAAGGUUCAAGAUGAUCAAGGAGAUGAAAUUGAGCAUAACGAAGAUAAAUAUGAGAACAUCUAUGGAGAUUGGAGAUGGCCCUUCAUUGCAUGGUUAUGAGUUAAAAUUGGAUAUGCAUUGGUUGUUUUGCUUGUAAUUUUUGGGUCCAUGUAGGUAAUCAAGAAUCAUAUAUAUAUAUAUGGGAAAUGAAAUUUCUUUUAUAGAGGUGUGUGACUCCUUUCCUUUUUUUCUAUUUAUUCUAAUACUAAGGCAUACUUAGAAAAUAGAGGCAGAUUUUCACUUGUGAAAUUCAAAUAUAAUGCACCCAUCUUGUAUGUGUACAUACAAAUUGUAAAGGCAAAUGAUCCCAUGAAUUAUUUACCUAAAACCUUAGACAACAACCAAGCAUG